rnacentral:rRNA from 1 species
UACAGAGGGUGCAAGCGUUAAUCGGAAUUACUGGGCGUAAAGCGUGCGUAGACGGUUACAUAAGUCGGGUGUGAAAGCCCCCGGGCUCAACCUGGGGAAUUGCAUUCGAGACUGCGUAGCUAGGGGUGCGGAAGAGGGAAGCGGAAUUUCCGGUGUAGCGGUGAAAAUGCGUAGAUAUCGGAAGGAACACCAGUGGCGAAAAGCGGCUUCCUGGUCCAGCACCGACGUCAGGCACGAAAGC